AACGAACGCUGGCGGCAGGCCUAACACAUGCAAGUCGAUCGGUGUCUUCGGACAGAGAGGCGCACGGGCGAGUAACACGUGGGAACAUACCCUCGAGUGCGGCAUAACUAUUGGAAACGAUAGCUAAUAACGCAUACGCACUACGGGGGAAAGAUUCAUCGCUCAAGGAGUGGCCCGCGUCCGAUUAGCUAGUUGGCGGAGUAACGGCCCACCAAGGCGACGAUCGGUCGCUGGUUUGAGAGAAUGAUCAGCCACACUGGGACUGAGACGCGGCCCAGACUCCUACGUGAGGCAGCAGUGGGGAAUAUUGGACAAUGGGCGCAAGCCUGAUCCAGCCAUGCCGCGUGAGUGAAGAAGGCCUUCGGGUUGUAAGGCGCUUUCAGACGUGGCGAUGAUGACGGUAGCUUCAGAAGAAGCCCCGGCUAACUUCGUGCCAGCAGCCGCAGUAA
rnacentral:rRNA from 1 species